CGCUGGCGGCGUGCCUAACACAUGCAAGUCGAGCGAGGAGAUCCUUCGGGAUGAUCCUAGCGGCGGACGGGUGAGUAACACGUGGGCAACCUGCCUCAUAGAGAGGAAUAGCCUUCCGAAAGGGAGAUUAAUACCUCAUAACAUUGCAGUUUCGCAUGAAACAGCAAUUAAAGGAGCAAUCCGCUAUGAGAUGGGCCCGCGGCGCAUUAGCUAGUUGGUGAGGUAACGGCUCACCAAGGCGACGAUGCGUAGCCGACCUGAGAGGGUGAUCGGCCACAUUGGGACUGAGACACGGCCCAGACUCCUACGGGAGGCAGCAGUGGGGAAUAUUGCACAAUGGGGGAAACCCUGAUGCAGCCAACGCCGCGUGAGUGAUGACGGCCUUCGGGUUGUAAAGCUCUGUCUUCAGGGACGAUAAUGACGGUACCUGAGGAGGAAGCCACGGCUAACUACGUGCCAGCAGCAGC
rnacentral:rRNA from 1 species